UGUGAACUCGAAGAGUAGGGCGGGACACGUGGUAUCCUGUCUGAAUAUGGGGGGACCAUCCUCCAAGGCUAAAUACUCCUGACUGACCGAUAGUGAACCAGUACCGUGAGGGAAAGGCGAAAAGAACCCCGGCGAGGGGAGUGAAAAAGAACCUGAAACCGUGUACGUACAAGCAGUGGGAGCCUCUUUAUGGGGUGACUGCGUACCUUUUGUAUAAUGGGUCAGCGACUUAUAUUCUGUAGCAAGGUUAACCGUAUAGGGGAGCCGAAGGGAAACCGAGUCUUAACUGGGCGUUAAGUUGCAGGGUAUAGACCCGAAACCCGGUGAUCUAGCCAUGGGCAGGUUGAAGGUUGGGUAACACUAACUGGAGGACCGAACCGACUAAUGUUGAAAAAUUAGCGGAUGACCUGUGGCUGGGGGUGAAAGGCCAAUCAAACCGGGAGAUAGCUGGUUCUCCCCGAAAGCUAUUUAGGUAGCGCCUCGUGAACUCAUCUUCGGGGGUAGAGCACUGUUUCGGCUAGGGGGCCAUCCCGGCUUACCAACCCGAUGCAAACUACGAAUACCGAAGAAUGUUAUCACGGGAGACACACGGCGGGUGCUAACGUCCGUCGUGAAGAGGGAAACAACCCAGACCGCCAGCUAAGGUCCCAAAGUCAUGGUUAAGUGGGAAACGAUGUGGGAAGGCACAGACAGCCAGGAUGUUGGCUUAGAAGCAGCCAUCAUUUAAAGAAAGCGUAAUAGCUCACUGGUCGAGUCGGCCUGCGCGGAAGAUGUAACGGGGCUAAACCAUGCACCGAAGCUGCGGCAGCGACACUAUGUGUUGUUGGGUAGGGGAGCGUUCUGUAAGCCGUUGAAGGUGUGCUGUGAGGCAUGCUGGAGGUAUCAGAAGUGCGAAUGCUGACAUAAGUAACGAUAAAGCGGGUGAAAAGCCCGCUCGCCGGAAGACCAAGGGUUCCUGUCCAACGUUAAUCGGGGCAGGGUGAGUCGACCCCUAAGGCGAGGCCGAAAGGCGUAGUCGAUGGGAAACAGGUUAAUAUUCCUGUACUUGGUGUUACUGCGAAGGGGGGACGGAGAAGGCUAUGUCAGCCGGGCGACGGUUGUCCCGGUUUAAGCAUGUAGGCGGAGGUUCCAGGUAAAUCCGGUACCUUAUUAACGCUGAGGUGUGAUGACGAGGCACUACGGUGCUGAAGUGAUAAAUGCCCUGCUUCCAGGAAAAGCCUCUAAGCAUCAGGUAACACGAAAUCGUACCCCAAACCGACACAGGUGGUCAGGUAGAGAAUACCAAGGCGCUUGAGAGAACUCGGGUGAAGGAACUAGGCAAAAUGGUGCCGUAACUUCGGGAGAAGGCACGCUGAUGUGUAGGUGAAGCCCCUGCGGGUGGAGCUGAAAUCAGUCGAAGAUACCAGCUGGCUGCAACUGUUUAUUAAAAACACAGCACUGUGCAAACACGAAAGUGGACGUAUACGGUGUGACGCCUGCCCGGUGCCGGAAGGUUAAUUGAUGGGGUUAGCGGCAACGCGAAGCUCUUGAUCGAAGCCCCGGUAAACGGCGGCCGUAACUAUAACGGUCCUAAGGUAGCGAAAUUCCUUGUCGGGUAAGUUCCGACCUGCACGAAUGGCGUAAUGAUGGCCAGGCUGUCUCCACCCGAGACUCAGUGAAAUUGAACUCGCUGUGAAGAUGCAGUGUACCCGCGGCAAGACGGAAAGACCCCGUGAACCUUUACUAUAGCUUGACACUGAACACUGGUCCUUGAUGUGUAGGAUAGGUGGGAGGCUUUGAAGCGUGGACGCCAGUCUGCGUGGAGCCAACCUUGAAAUACCACCCUUUAAUGGCUGGUGUUCUAACGUAGACCCGUUACCCGGGUUGCGGACAGUGUCUGGUGGGUAGUUUGACUGGGGCGGUCUCCUCCCAAAGAGUAACGGAGGAGCACGAAGGUUGGCUAAUCCUGGUCGGACAUCAGGAGGUUAGUGCAAUGGCAUAAGCCAGCUUGACUGCGAGCGUGACGGCGCGAGCAGGUGCGAAAGCAGGUCAUAGUGAUCCGGUGGUUCUGAAUGGAAGGGCCAUCGCUCAACGGAUAAAAGGUACUCCGGGGAUAACAGGCUGAUACCGCCCAAGAGUUCAUAUCGACGGCGGUGUUUGGCACCUCGAUGUCGGCUCAUCACAUCCUGGGGCUGAAGUAGGUCCCAAGGGUAUGGCUGUUCGCCAUUUAAAGUGGUACGCGAGCUGGGUUUAGAACGUCGUGAGACAGUUCGGUCCCUAUCUGCCGUGGGCGCUGGAGAAUUGAGGGGGGCUGCUCCUAGUACGAGAGGACCGGAGUGGACGCAUCACUGGUGUUCGGGUUGUCAUGCCAAUGGCACUGCCCGGUAGCUAAAUGCGGAAGAGAUAAGUGCUGAAAGCAUCUAAGCACGAAACUUGCCCCGAGAUGAGUUCUCCCUGAGACUUUAAGUCUCCUGAAGGAACGUUGAAGACGACGACGUUGAUAGGUCGGGUGUGUAAGCGCAGCGAUGCGUUGAGCUAACCGAUACUAAUGAACCGUGAGGCUUAACCUU
rnacentral:rRNA from 1 species